rnacentral:rRNA from 1 species
UGCCAGCCGCCGCGGUAAUACUGAAGGUGCAAGCGUUAAUCGGAAUCACUGGGCGUAAAGCGCUCGUAGGUGGCUUUGUAAGUCAGAUGUGAAAGCCCACGGCUCAACCGUGGAAUUGCAUUUGAUACUGCAUCGCUAGAGUAUAGGAGAGGGAAGUGGAAUUUCUGGUGUAGGAGUGAAAUCCGUAGAGAUCAGAAGGAACACCGGUGGCGAAGGCGACUUCCUGGACUAUUACUGACACUGAGAAGGGUAACACUGGGCGGAAAACCGCGUUAGCUA